rnacentral:rRNA from 1 species
GACGAACGCUGGCGGCGUGCUUAACACAUGCAAGUCGAACGGAAAGGCCCGGUUUUUGUGGGGUGCUCGAGUGGCGAACGGGGGAGUAACACGCGAGUGAACUGCCCUUGAGUUUGGGGUACCUUCAGGAAACUGGGGCUAAUAUCGGAUAUAAGCUCUUGCUGCAUGAGGUGGGUGGGUAAGAUUCGGCAUUUGGGGAUGGACUCGGGGCAUAUCAGCUUGUUGGUGAGGUGGUGGGUUACCACUGCUUUGAGGGGUGGCCGGCCUGGGAGGGUGACCGGCCACAUUGGGACUGAGAUACGACCCAGAGUCCUGCGGGGGGCAGCAGUGGGGAAUUUAGCGCGAUGGGCGGAAGCCUGAUGCAGCAACGCCGCGUGCGGGAUGACGGCCUUCGGGUUGUAACCCGCUUUCGCCUGUGACGAAGAGUGAGUGACGGUAAUGGGUAAAGAAGCACCGGCUAACUACGUG